GCCUGGGUGGCUCAGUCGGCUGAGCAUCUGACUUCGGCUCAGGUCAUGAUCUCACAGUUUGUGAGUUCGAGCCCCACGUCGGGCU
rnacentral:tRNA from 1 species